rnacentral:misc_RNA from 1 species
AAGGUAAAAUUAACUUUAAAUAAACAAACCACAAAACAAAAAUAGAUUUUUUUUUUUUAAAAUUCUCAUUUGCAUCCUCCAAGGUUAAAGUGGCAAAAUAAAGCAUCAACAAAAUCAACAUUGUUAUUGAAAUAAGUAAAAUUAACUUCUUUUAAUUUUUGGUACAACUGGUUCCGACGAGACUCGAACUUAAUAGCUCACAACUCUAGACUACUUCAGCACCACCAAGUUAAAGCUCAUUGGUGAUAAGUAAAAUUAACUUUCAAGAACAAAUAUCAACAGAUAGGUGGAUUUUCAAUUAGAGUGAUAGGUGGAUUUUCAAUUAGAAUUCUUAAAAUUUUGAAGCUUUGCUGUGUGCCUUGAAAAGCUCAUCCACAAACAAUAUUAAAAAGACUGGGCAUUAGGCAGUUCAAAUUUUACUAUUUGCAUUCUGCUAUGUCAAUAAUUUAACUUAUCACUUAUCAUGUCUACUAGGAACUUGCUAUAAUAAUAU